AGUUAGUGACGGUGGGUUAGACGGCAAAGAUCAAGGU
rnacentral:sRNA from 1 species